rnacentral:rRNA from 1 species
AUAGCGUAUAUUAAAGUUGUUGCAGUUAAAAAGCUCGUAGUUGAACUUCAGACCUGGCUGGAUGGUCUGCCGAAAGGUAUGUACUGUCUGGCUGGGCCUUACCUCUUGGUGAGCCGGCAUGCCCUUCACUGGGUGUGUCGGGGAACCAGGACUUUUACCUUGAGAAAAUUAGAGUGUUCAAAGCAGGCUUAUGCUCGAAUACAUUAGCAUGGAAUAAUGAAAUAGGACGUUUGAUCCUAUUUUGUUGGUUUCUAGGAUCGACGUAAUGAUUAAUAGGGAUAGUUGGGGGCAUUAGUAUUCAAUUGUCAGAGGUGAAAUUCUUGGAUUUAUUGAAGACUAACUAUUG